rnacentral:lncRNA from 1 species
UAUGGAAAGAACCAUGUGUGGAGUUUGGCACCACAGAUAUUCUCUGAGUGAUUGAAGUCUCUUCUACCAUGAGGCCUUGAAAGCUCCAUGAUAGAGAUGACAGAGCUAUAAGAUGAAAGCAGCCCAAAUCCCUGAGUCACCAAUGUUUGAAGAAGAGCUUCCCAGGAGAGGUACCAGACCCACAUGAGACUUCACAUGAUUAUAAAAUGAACUUCUAUUGUGUUGAAUCUCUGAACUUCAGGGUUGUUUUGCAGCACAGACUACAUUAUAGCGACAAGUAGAGGAAGGUACAGGCAUGCUAAUUUCAUUUUAAAAUUAAUCAAGGAUUGUCAAUGGAAAAUAAAGAUUUCAGAUUCC